AAGAGAUGAGGAGAACUUUUCAUGCAGUCUGAAAAAACAAUGAAGACUGUCAGAUCCAACUCUGAUCUUCUCAUGGCU